rnacentral:rRNA from 1 species
UACGUAGGGGGCAAGCGUUGUCCGGAAUUAUUGGGCGUAAAGAGCGCGUAGGCGGUCCGAUAAGUCGGCUGUGAAAGUCCAGGGCUCAACCCUGGAAAGCCGGCCGAUACUGUCGGACUAGAGUCCGGAAGAGGCAAGUGGAAUUCCCGGUGUAGCGGUGAAAUGCGCAGAUAUCAGGAGGAACACCGGUGGCGAAGGCGGUUCUCUGGGCAUUACCUGACGCUGAGGAGCGAAAGUGUGGGGAGCGAACAGG